GACGAACGCUGGCGGCGUGCUUAACACAUGCAAGUCGAACGGAAAGGCCCUGCUUUUGUGGGGUGCUCGAGUGGCGAACGGGUGAGUAACACGUGAGUAACCUGCCCUUGACUUUGGGAUAACUUCAGGAAACUGGGGCUAAUACCGGAUAGGAGCUCCUGCUGCAUGGUGGGGGUUGGUAAGUUUCGGCGGUUGGGGAUGGACUCGCGGCUUAUCAGCUUGUUGGUGGGGUAGUGGCUUACCAAGGCUUUGACGGGUAGCCGGCCUGAGAGGGUGACCGGCCACAUUGGGACUGAGGUACGGCCCAGACUCCUACGGGAGGCAGCAGUGGGGAAUAUUGCACAAUGGGCGGAAGCCUGAUGCAGCAACGCCGCGUGCGGGAUGACGGCCUUCGGGUUGUAAACCGCUUUCGCCUGUGACGAAGCGUGAGUGACGGUAAUGGGUAAAGAAGCACCGGCUAACUACGUG
rnacentral:rRNA from 1 species